rnacentral:sRNA from 1 species
CGUCAUAAUAAUAAGCCCGAACGACAA